CUUCGUUUCACGGGUAUCAGUUUUCGCCAAGAAAGAGUGAAGAAGACACGGAUGAAAUAAUUAACGUCAAAAAGUGCGUACAUCAUCGCCACUACGGCAAUCGCCGGAUAAAAGAAGCCCCCCAUUAUGGUGAACAAAAAAUUCAAAAUGGACGCUGAAUCGUCAACUCCUCAACUCCUCGACGCUAUAAAGUUUUCUUUUUGGAUUUGCCAAUAAUUUCCUUGACCAUAAGUAUUUCUGUGAUCCUCGCAAGGACUUUCAAACAAUAAAUUUUCAACUGCCAAUGAGUACUCGACCACUCACAGUGUUACCCGGUAUUCAUUAAAAAUCAGCUUGAGAUGGGUAUCGGCGUUCAAAAAUCAAACAAAUUUCAUUGGCAAAUUUUCAACUGGAUCGACACGAGCAUGGAUCAUGAUUACAUCCGUAAAGUAUAAAGACAAAACUUCACCGACACAGUUCGUAGUAAGAAGACCGCGAAGGGAAAAUCAGAAGAGCUAGAAAGUGGCAAGAACGCUCGUUAAAGAGCCUGUUAGAUGAUGACAUACCCGACGAAAAUCAAGGGAAAAGAAAUAAAAUAGAUGUGAAAAUAAAAUUAACACGAGCAUGAGGUCGAAACAAAAUGCAAAUGAAGAAGGUAUAAUAAUUAAUUCGACUCUAAUUUGCAUUAGAACAUCACAUGCGUAUAGAACAUUUAAAUUAAUUGAAAGUCUAUUUGAAUUGCCAAUAGUUUGAAACUUGACAGGUACAUGUCGGCUAGAAAAAUCUGCAAAUUUUCUUUCAGUUCCCCGAAACGAUGUUGGAUAUGGUACGAUGAUAUUGUACACCACCGAAGAUAUACGUUUAUCGAGGCUAAUUUCUAUCGUCAUAUCGUUUCUUCCACCGGUCGACAAUGAUUAUAAAGAUAUUAUCAAUUUAUUGUUGCAUUAUCGAAUUAAAUUAACAAUAUUCUA